CGUUGAAAGAUAAUAUAGAGAUGCCGACCCUAUUUUGGGCCUAAAUGUAAUACUGGAGGUGAAAAAGUGUAACUUGGACCUAAAAAGCGUAAU